rnacentral:lncRNA from 1 species
CCACUCAUGGUGACAUGGAUCAGAAUACGAGAGACAUAAUUAUGCGUGAGUUUCGCUCUGGUUCUUCCCGCGUGCUCAUUACAACUGAUCUCCUGGCACGUGGUAUAGAUGUCCAGCAAGUGUCCCUUGUGAUAAACUAUGACCUGCCGACUCAGCCAGAGAACUACCUUCAUCGGAUUGGACGCAGUGGCCGUUUUGGAAGGAAGGGUGUUGCGAUCAACUUUGUUACCAGGGAUGAUGACAGGAUGUUGGUCGACAUACAGAAGUUCUAUAAUGUGUUGGUCGAGGAGCUGCCAGCAAAUGUUGCCGAUCUUCUUUAGUGUGGAACUGAUGUGACAAGGUACAAGUUUUUGAAAGUUACUUGAUAUCCUAUCUAGUCACGGCUUACUAGACACAUAUUUGGAUCUGGACUUUGAUUGUGACAACCCUUGUGCAUUUUGUUGUAUUCUAAUUUCUGCAAAUAUUGGUGGAUUUAUACGUGUCCUAUUUUCUCCCUACAACUUGUAGUAUGGGAUGUUUGAACCAGCAACAAUUUUACAUUUAACUCUGUUCAUGUAUAAUUUGAUUUUAUAAAGGUGUGAUUAUCUAUUAUUCUGCUUGAAACUUGUUUAUAUUCGGAAUUGGAAGAAAUUUUUUGAUAUCUUGCUCCUGCCGAGUUUAUAGGUUCUACAAAUUUACUUACAUGUGAAAGAAAAUAAAUGCAGUGAUAUUUUUACCAAGUAUUUUGUAUUUUCAGUAUCAACCUGUUUUACCCAUACUUGGUUGAAAGUGCCCAACAUGCGAAUUAUCGGCUGAAAGCUGUGCUUCAUUCUACUACCUCUUCAGAUUUUUUUCUAGUGGUCCUUUAUAUAGAUUUUGGCUGGUUUACAGAGGAUUCUUCACAUUGAUGUGGGUAACAAUGUCUUGAAAAAAAUUGACAAAAUUUAUGGAUUCUUACUGGAAUUUUGUAAAAGAGAAGUUAGCUUUGUGUGGCCUUUUCUUAUAAGUUGCUUUGGAAGAGUAUGAGUGGAAGGGUUGGUAAGCAUUGCACUUUGUUGAAAGGGAGUGCUGAGAAUUAACUCAAAGCUAACUACAAAAAAAUGAAUUAUUUUUAAUAGAAGGUCAUGUUUGUAGAUUAUCUAUUAGUUAGUCGAGAUAUAAAAUUUGCUUUUAAAAUAGACGUGGUCCACCACUUACUAGGAUAGGUUUCCUAAAUUAUAUGUAAGUUGGUUUAUUCUAAUUAAGUUAGUUCAUAUUAAUGUAUCUCAAUUGAUUAUGCAGACUGAAAAAAACAAAAUAGCAUUGGUCCCCAAUAUCCUGCAUUUUCUCAUGGCUCGUAUGCAAAUCGUUUAUUUCCAGCUCUAGUAAUCUAUAAUCAGGUUAGUGUGGAAAAUUAUAUCUUGUUCAAGGAGAUUUGUUGUCCUUUUGAUUAAUACCAAGUGUUUUUGUCCUGUUUAUAAUUGAGUUGUUGAACAAUAAGCCCUUAACAAACUAAGCCACAAUUGAAUCCUCUGAAAUUUACAUAGAUGUAGGCAUUGAUUAUAUGUGUUAUGUUUGCAUUCCUUCGCUAGCUGUAUGUUUACUUGACAGGAAGACUUGCUUCGAAGGGUCAAAAGAUCAGUGAGAACUUCUAUUUCAGAAGCGAUUGCUCUGUAAGUUGUGAUUGCCUAAUUGGCAUGUACAGUUUUACUGUAAGUGUAAAUAAACUCUUCUAAGCCACAUUUUUACCAAAAUUUAUGUAUAAUCCCAGCCGCCUUCUACUUUUCUGAAUAGUUCUUGGGAAAUUUUGUCGAGAAAAUAGAUUUGAUACCAAAUAGCAGUGCUGCAAACAAAUGUAUCCGUAAGAGAAAUUGUAAUGAAUAGCUUAGUCUUAUUCAGUAUCUGAAUCUGCUUUUGAUCGUAGGGCGUUGGUUUUUACUAUAGGUUACUGCUGUACUUGGUAGAAAAAUUACGCUUCCUGCUUAUUUGUCUACUGUUCUAAGAUUAACUACUAAAUUGAUUGAGUUUUCUUACAACCUAUAUAUGUAGAAGAUAAGUCAUGGGAAGUAGAUUCAAUUUGUUUUAAGCACGUUGUUUUGAAUUCUUGGAUCAUAUAAGUAUUUCUAAGUUCUUUUCAGGUUUCUGCUGCUUGUGCGGUGUGACUCAUAUAAUGCGCUUCUUCAAGUGCUUUCUUUUUUACAUUUAUGUGGUAGCUUCCAACAUUUAAAAUAUUGUCUUCAGUUUCUUCUUUCUCUUACUGUUACAUCAAAGCUCCCGCUGAGAAGCGUGAUGCUUUAAAUUUUUAUUUGUUCCUGCUGUUGGCCUGCUGUAGAAGCUCGACAUGGACAGACCUUAAAGUUCUACAGUGGUUGAUUCAUUCUUUUCUUAUUUACUGUCGCCAAAAUAUUCAAUCCCAUUUCUUUGUUACAUCUGUGUGGCAUCUACAACAUUGCCAGAAUUUAGCAUAAUAUUGUUUGAUAUCUGAAAAAUAUCUGUAAUGUUGUUUUACUAUGGAUUCUGAUUGAGUAAGUGCAUGUUUUCUGUUGUCUGAGUGUAACUGUCUUCUUUACAGUGAAUGGGUUCGAGCCACUUAAACAGUUUGAGCUUUUCAUUCAUGAUCGAGACUGAAGUCAAGCUACAACUCCCUUUGAAGGAGAGUUCCAAGUCUGUUAACAGAGUGAUAGAGCCGGCAACUCAGUCUGAAAUUGAAUAUCUGAAGGAAUAGUUGAAAUAUUUGGUAUGUCAAAUUUUAAUAUCGAGGUUAAAACUUCAUUUUUAGUUUUUUCUCAUUCUUGUUUGUCGGUGACAUUCUCGUUUUAUAAGCAUGAUACAGCUCUAUUUACAAACAUCUAUAACAUGUCCGGAUUUAAAAAAAUUUGAUAGGGCGGGGAUUAAAGAGAAAUAUGAUAUAUAUUUUUUUAGUUGGAGAUGAAAAAUAAGUACUAAUUAUGGUUGCAAAGACUUAUCAGCUUACCGUGUAAAACUGAUUCGUCUUCUAAACUGCUCCCUGCUAGAUUAUUGUGGCAAAUGUAAGAGACUGGAGUUUCAAGAUAAAAGCACUUCCUAAGGAGAACCAGCACACAUGCAAAUCACCUGGGCUAAUGUUAAGGGAAUCAGCUCUUUAGAGCAUGUGGGUCCUUUUUAAUGUUACAUAAGCAUCAUCCAGUGGAUUUUAAAAAGACCCCGGUCACACUGCUUCAAUGCACGAGCCCAUUUCCACUUACAGAUGAGUACAUCAAAUCUUAUCUUUCUUUAUAUAAUAUUGUUUUAAUUUAUAAUAUAAUUCUCAAGCAUUUGGAACUUGAGAAUUUGGAUUUGAAGAAUAAGAAUGUAAAAGUAGAUGCACAUUUAUAAAGAUUGUACAAAUGAAUGCAUAAGGACCAAAAAUAAGCACAGGUAGCAGGAGUUUACCGGGCUAUGCCCGGUUUUUGCUUUUACUCCUGUGGGUUGGGAUGCUCUUAGGCUCAACGUCCUUGCAGAAAAAUCAUCAGGAGGAUUCUGUAAAAUGAUUUCUCAAUAGUUUCUUGACCUUGUGGUGACAGCUGAGAAGAGAAGGCACUCCAAGUAAUGUCCGAAACUAUUGGUUCAAAUCUACAUUUCUCUUCACUUGUAUAUUUUCUCAAAAAAAGAACUUGUAUUAUGAAAUUGAUGACCAAUUUGUGUAAAUGAAAAAAAGAUCCAUUAUUAGUUAGUUAUGCCAAAUUUUUAACUAACUAGUUUUCGUUAAUUACCUUCGGAAAAAUGUUAUAGCUAUUGCAAGUUAAUUUACAAAUUUAAAUGAUCAAAUUACAUAUAUAAUUUUUUAGAAUUAAUCAUCAAAUAAUAUCACCCGGUUUUUUAUCAUAUUAGUGGCUUGAUCUUUUAACAAAUAUUUUUAUAAUUUUUUGACCAUAUUGCUAUUUUUAAUAUUUUAUUUUAUUGAAUUAUAAUGUUAGUUAUACUCCUCAUGUCCCAUUUAAUUCUGUGCGUUUUUUUUCACUACUCAACACACGCUUCAAUUCUCCUAUAAAAUAUUAUUCUAUCACUUAUUUUUAAAAUUUUAUUUUUUUUGAACAAAAAUAUAACAUUCGAAUUUUUAUUCAGAAAAAAAAAUCUUGAAAUUAAGUUACGGAACUAUACUUUACGGAAUUAUUAAAGUAUGUGCCACAUUCUAAUCCCCAAUGUAUAUAACUCCGGGGACAAAGAGAAUAUUUUAUUUUGAAACUUUUAAAAGAAAAAUAAUAAUAACAAUAUAUGAUUAAAGUACCCUGCAAAAAAGAAUUGGAAGUAUCAAAGAGAAAAAAGUAGCGUCAGGUCCAUUAAAAAUUAAUUUUUUACACACGAAUUAAUUUUUUUACACACGAAAUAUCUAAAAAAAUUAAUUUUUUUUUUUUUUGAAUUCCUGCCAUUUUUCUCCAGAACUCGAAGAAACAAGCAAAUGCUGUAUACAUACACGAAUGAGCCUCUCUUAUCCCUGGGGCGUCCACUCUCAACUCAAUUUCUCUUCAACAAUCAGUAAGUCAAUUAGCACAAUAUAUAUAAUAUAGCUAUGUAUUUAUUUAUGUUUAGAUUGAUCUUUUCAUCUACAUCAGAUGUGGGAAUCAGUAUACUUGAUUCAUUGAGUUUCUUUUCAUUCUUUAGGGGUUUUUUAUCCGUUUAGGCUGAAUUUAUAAAAAAGAUAAACUUUUUCUGUUUCUUUCUGCUAGAUUGUGUUAAAGAUGAAAACUUUUUAUGUGGGUUUAUUUGGAUUGAUGUUCUUGGGUGUGAUUUUGUUUGAUUAAGCAGGUUUUUGCGUUUUGUUGAUGUUCAACCCUGGAACAAUUUCAAUCAUGUGAAUUGGCCUUUUAUUGACUAGAAUAGCUGGUAUCUGAAGCUGAUUGUUGUAGACGCGUUGUUUGGGGAAUUUCCGCGUGUAUAAUUGGGCUGGAUAAGAACUGGUUGUGUGUAUGAUUACACGAUUGUAGCAAGAAAUAAUUUAUUUUAAUUAAAAUUCAGAUACUUGCUCUGGUAAUGGUGUAUAGAGUUUUUUUCUUGCAGUGUUGCGCACUCGCGUUUGUUGAAAAUUAAGAAAUACAUUUGGUGGAAUAUACAUCAGUUAGUGAUUUGUUACCUAAAUCAGAGCUAUUCUUUAUAGCUCGGGAUGCAACUUAAAUUCGACUCCACUAAUGAAGUUAUAAAAACCGUGUAAUUUUGAAGCUCUCUUGAGUUUAAUUAGUUGUAAAAAUAAUUAUGAUAGAGAUGCCAUGCAGCAUGCGGUAUAUAUAAGCAUUCAAUUUUAGCAUAUUUCCUUCUUUUCCCAGUGAACGGAGCUGUUUGAGUGUUCUCCAUUUCACCAAUAUAACGUGCCUCAUUUAUGGUCAUGAAAACAUAUAAGUCCUAACCAACAAUUUUAUUCAUUUGCUUUUUCUUUUCCUUGUUAAAGUUUGCAACUUCAGUUAGAAGUUAGAGUUGGAAUCAUACAGACAUAAUUAUAAUAUUGAUUUUGGUAACCGUCGUGCUUAAAUUGCUCAGCUGUAAUUUUGUUUAUUGAUCGCUGAAUAUAUUUUAUCUAGCUUGUCUUUUCUAAAUAUGCUUUGUAUCUAGAAUUUGAUUGCAGUUUUUAUGUGUUGGAUAUUAGCUAUACACUUAUACCACGAGGGGAAAUGAUGAUCAGGAUUUAAACCAAUGACCUUUCAUGAAUCUCAUUUGAUUUUACUUGUUUGAUGUAGUCUCUACUCUCUAGGACUAGUGGUGUUAAUGAAAUCACUUUGAAUUAAAAAUUAAUUGUUUUUUGUUUAUAAAAAUGCUCUUUGCAGAAUAUAAAUUAGUCACACACUGGGUUAUAAGGUGUUUCUCCAUUUCGGUUUGCAAAAUCUUGAAUAAAGAUUAGAAUUUGUUGCAAGCUCACUUAUUUGGUGAACGAUACCUUAAUUUUGUUUGCUUUGAAAGAAUUUGAAGAUUUGUAGCUUAUCUGUCCUUUUAUUUAUCUCUUAUUUUUGUAAAAUUGAUUUAUUAUUAUUGUUUUUUUAUUUUAUAGGAUGGCUGUCAGUUCUGGAUUAUUAACCAAUUUUGCAGGUUCUUUUAUAUGGUGUUUGUAUUUAUUCCUUUUUUGAUGUGUAUAAACUUAUUAGAUUUUUUGAUUGUACAGUCCACCCAAAGCUGUUAUUCAAAAUUCAAGGGGUACACCCUAUUCGACCUACUUUUUGGAGCAGGCACAAAAUCAUUAGUUUCCCUCAAAUUUUGGAAAGAGUAAUUCUUUUUCUUGAAAGUGUGAAGAAGGAUUCAUGAUUCAUAACUUUUAGAUGUCAGUUAACUCUUUGUUUCUCAUAGAUUAACAAUGCACCAUUCUUUUCAGAGGGGUGGUGGCACCAGAUAUGUUCAAUCAGUUGGAAGUAACCGUCUUGAGUUUACUUAUGAUGAUGAUGUGAGUAAAGAAUCCCACUGGUCAGUCAAGUUGAAGGAAUUUUUAAGGUAUAUUAUAAUAUGUAGUACUAGAAUAUUAAUGCAAUCACUUUAAAGUUAAACACUAUCAUCAUAGGAUCUGAGGAGAAAAGACAUCGCUUUAUUUGAGUGUCUGUUUUAUGAUCAUUUUUCAGAGGUUUGCGGUUAUUACUUGCAUUUUUGGCUGAGCAACCCGGUCAAUUGAAAUACAUAGAGUGGCCAAGUUUCCAGAGCACGGUGAGUACUAGAUACACAUGCUUUACUCAGUGAUGAAAAUGUUUGAUAGCACUACGUUUUACCUGUGGUACUUUAAAUGUUACAAUGUUUCUCCAACUUUAGAGUUUCAGAUGGGACGGGUUAGUUGUACCCCUGUCACAGAGAUUUCUUAAAUGUUUAAUACGUAUAUCUAUUGUGGAAUAUGUUAAUACGAGCUUAACUAGUUUGCUUACCGCCUUGAUAACGUUAAAUUUGAAGCUUUUUUUUCCCAUUCCAAGUGAUACUAAUGGUUUCAUGCUAAUUGCAUUCGUAUUCCUAAUUUCUGUCAUUUGUAGAUAUGCUAUGGUAGAUAUGCUGUUAACUUUGUAAUUUUGUAUGCAGCUGAAGACUGCUACUCUAACACUUGUUAUUGUAGCAUUGCUUAUUGUUGCUCUGUCUUCAGUUGAUGGCGGACUCGGUUAUUUAUUGGCUUUAUAUUUAAGGAGGAAAAAUGUCACAUAAUGUUGCUUCUUAGAGUGCUAGCUCCUUAGAGUGCUAUAAUACUGGUGGGCGGAUCUUUCACGAACCUAACUUAAUCAUGUUGUGUACAUUUAUCAGUAUUAGCAACACGCUGGGCUGUAGAUACACUACAGGUUCAGUUGUAAUGUGGUCUCAUCCUUGGAUGAUGCUCUGACUUCUUACAGCAUUAUGAACAGUUGAUCAAAAAAUAUCAUACGGUGAGAGCAUUCCCAAGCGUUGAAUGUUAUAUUUACUUUACUAUCAGUCUUCAUAUGUGUUUGAAAGAUUAUCGUCAUAUGCCAAUAUUUGGAGGAUAGAUCACGACAUGAUAGAUUAAAACCCGCCUGCAAUGUAGGCCAAUUAUAAAACUAUAGUUGAAUACUAGUAGAGACUUCGACCCUCUAUAAAUCUCCAGUAACAGCUUCAUUCAUUCCAUCUUCAACAUGAAUAUGAUAAUAUAUGUUGCAGAAAUUACUGUCAGGAAAUUCUAUGUCUCGGCCGUUGAUGAUUUUGUGGUGUGGGCUGGAAACUACACAAUUCUGUUGACGGGACACUUCGAUUUGGGCUGGAAACUACACAAUUCUGGUGACGGGACACUUCGAUUCUAAGGAUGAUGCUGUAAGCUUCUUAAAUUCUGUUAACCAGUCCCAGUACCUAGCUAUCCCCAUGGUAUUGCAACCAGGGCUGUGGAGACCUGCUCAUGUGUUAAAAGAGUUAAAUUAUCUGGAUAGAGUAGAAACUUUUGCUUUUGAUGUGAAUAAUGAAUGCUUCACAGAAGGUUUUACAGAAGCCUGGAUCUUUCGAGGCGGUUGUUUUAAGGAAAUAUUUCUUUCUUGAGAGUUGAGGAUAGUACCUGAAUUCGAGGAAUAUGACUUCGUGAAAUUAUAUACUCCCUCAAUCUCAUCGGAUUGUUUAUAUUUACUGUUUGCACGCAUUUUGAGAUUUUAUAAAAUAUAGUUUCAUAAUAUUUUUUUUAUUUUUUAUUCUUUGAAUAAAAAUUUAACGUCAAAUUUUUAUUCAGAGAAGAAAUUUUUUUAAAAAGUAUUUUGAAAUUAUAUUUUAUAUAAAUUGUAAAAUACAUGUUAAAAAGCAAGUAAAGAAUCCAUGGGACGGAGUAUACAGUACUUUAAUUUGGAUUAGGAGAAAUAUGGCUAGUAUAUAGUACCUCAAGAAAAUAUGGCGAGUAUAUAGUACUCGAGUGUAAAUUAUUUUGUUAUAACUAAAGUCUAAACAAAAGCUACGAGAUACUUUUGCAAUCGAGUAAAUACCACUCGGCAACCACUAUGAACGAUCUGCAGGACCAGAGGACACGAAGGAUCGACGAAAAAAGCAACAAUACCAUCUCACUCCACUAAUGUUUCUUUUUGAUAUAAUAUUUUUAUAAAAUAAUUUUAUAUAAUUUCACUCCUAACUACCCGUUCAUUAUAAAUUUUAUAGAUUGAAAUGCAUGAAACAUAUGAUCAUAUUAACACAAAAAUGUGGUUAUAAUAAAUUUACAUAUUGCUGGAAUAACAAUAAUCAAAAGAUGAGAAUCGGAUUAUAAAAUUUUGGGCCGGAUUUGAGAGAUUUUUCGACUUUAUUAGAUAUAUCGAUCUUUUCCGAUAUAUAUAUUAUAAACAUCUUAUUUUAUAUCUCAAGUCAAUAUGGAUUAAGUCUUUAUCCCGACGAUUAAAAACGAUAUUUAAAAUUAAAUAACUUUUAAUUAUUAAUCAUAUUCAUAUUCAUAUUCAAAUUCAAAUUCAAAUUCGAUUUAGGAUCGAAAAAACUAAAUUAUCUAUAAAACCCAGGAAAAAUAUGAGAAAAAACACAAAAGUAAUUAUACAGUCAUACCCCCGUCAAUACAAAACAAAAGUUGAGACACACUCGUCUAUCUCUUUCUCUUGCAAGUCUUUCAGCUCCUGCGGCGUACAUCCUAGGAGUUUGUCUAAACCCUAACCCUACCUUUCUCAAAUCAAUUUUUCUCUGCAAUCUGUAAGUAUUUCAAGCUUAUUAAUCAAAUAAGUAUAUCUGUAUGUUGCUUAUGUAUAUAUUAAUGUGUUUAUUUGUGUCAGAUGUAGCUUCUUGAUUUCUUGAUAUUGGAUUUUUUGUGUUCUUGAUUGAUUGGAUUUUUAUUCAAUUUUAAUGGGGGGUUUUGUAGUAAAAUUAUUGGGUUUGCUUCUUUUUAGUAGAAUAUAAUAAAGUUGAUAACUUUAUGAUGUUCUUGUGUGAAAUUAUGACAAAGUUGAUAAAUUUAUAUGUGGGUUUAUUUGGAUUGAUGUUCUUGUGUGUUAUUAUGUUUGAUUAAGCAUGAAUUGGAUAUAUACUGUUUAAGGUUGUAUGUAGGUGGAUUAUAUUGGGAAAUACUUAUAUCGAUUAUAGUUCAUUAAGAUUGUGAUUAUAGUAAGAGCUGAUAGUGGUUAUAGUUGGAGCUGUUGUUUCUAGAGUUCUAUUAAUAUGUCUUGGGAUGAUUUUAGAGUUUUAUUGAUUUAUCUCCGAAUGAUUUAAAUCAUGUGAACUGACAUGUGUUAUUAAAUAGAUAAUCUGGUAUAACAAGUUAAAUUUUAUAUGUGUUUGUUUUUGGGAGAAUGCUGCGUAUAUAAUUAGGCAAGAUAAGAAUUUAAUUACUUGUAGAAGGAAUGUGUUUCUAGUUUAGAAUCUGGAUACUUGCUUUGCUAAUGGUGCAUAGAGAGGUUUUCAUGCAUUCACGUGUACUUAUUUUGGUGGGAAAAGGUAAUGAAUAUGUAUUCUUGAAUAUGAAUAGUUAAUAUCUAUGUAUUGUGUGAUCCUUUUUUUAAAGCUGAGUUGUGAUGUAAGACUUGUAGCUGAGGACAGCAACUAGUAAUGUAGCAACUGUUACUAAUAAAAAAUAUGUGCUUAGAUUUUUCUCCACUAAAUAUUUUUGACUCCACUUCUAUUGAAGGGCUAAAAAUAGUGUAGUUCUGAAAGUGUUUAUGAUCAAUUUACCACAAUUAUAUGGAGGCCUUCUAAUUGGCAUAUUUUACUUUUGCAAAUGGCCAAAGCUGCUUGGGUGUAUUCUUUUUUCAGCAAGCUCUUUAUUUUGAUACUAAAUUUGGCUUGGUCAGCGCUAGGAGUGUACGUAUACACUAUUGUGCCAUAUAUAUACAACUCUCAAAAAUUAUUCCUAAGAAGUAUAGGAUUUCUUAAGGUAAUAUUUCUUCCUUUCAAGUAAUAAAAGGACAGGGAGUAUGAGAGUGCGCUUUCCUCAUUUACUUUUUUAUUCCUUUUUGAACUUCUAAAACAAUUCAUAUUCUUUGAAAAGGCAAUUAGUGAUGGCCUUGUCUUUUUAUCUAUAUAUUGACGUAGAUGAUCAAUAUACGAUUACAUGCCCCAUACUUACUAUGUUUGAUUAUUAUUUAACCUUCUGAUGAGGAAAAUGUAUCUCUUAUAAUUAUAGUAAUCAUGGCUGGAGCUGCACCUGAAGGUUCUCAAUUUGAUGCACGGCAAUUUGAUGCAAAAAUGACUGAGAUGUAAGUGAAAUAUGUUUGUCUUUGUCCAUUAUAUUUUUUUUAAUGAAAACUUAGUGUAUUUGAUUGGAUAUGAUCACAACAAUAUUCUUAUUCGGUUAAUGAACUCAUUGGAGCAGACUUGGUGCCGAGGGAGAAGAAUUCUUCACAUCAUAUGAUGAGGUCUAUGAUAGUUUUGAUGCUAUGGGACUGCAGGAAAACCUUUUGAGAGGCAUCUAUGCUUACGGUACAUGACACUUUAAUUUGUUUUUCAAUAUGGUGCUUCUACUUAUGUAUUGUAAAUUUUAUAAUGUCUAACAAUAGUAUCCUGUAUUUAAUGAAUAUUACACUGGUUUAAUUACUACUUAAGGGUUGUUUAUGCCUCAGCAGUAACCUAUACAUCAGUUGACUUGAUGAUUAAUCUGAUGAUCUCUUAUAAUGUUCUUCCAAUUCUAGCUUGAGAUUUCAAAAUCUCCUUUAGAACUUUUUGUGGCUUGUUUUUCUAUGGGGGUUGCAGUGUGUUGGCGAUGUUUUAUUUUAUUAUAUUAUUAACGAAUGAAUGACCUUUUGAUUUGUUAUUAGAAACUGUUUACUGUGGUUGUCUAAAUUUAUGUUUUCGUUUCUGUCCUUCCUUAAGGUUUUGAGAAGCCAUCCGCAAUUCAACAGAGGGGGAUUGUUCCAUUCUGCAAGGGGCUAGAUGUUAUUCAGCAGGCACAAUCUGGUACUGGGAAAACAGCAACUUUCUGCUCUGGGGUUUUGCAGCAGCUUGAUUUUAAUGUUGUUGAAUGUCAAGCUCUGGUUCUUGCUCCGACUCGUGAACUUGCGCAACAAAUUGAGAAGGUUAUGCGAGCACUAGGUGACUAUCUUGGUGUGAAGGUUCAUGCUUGUGUGGGUGGAACUAGUGUCCGCGAAGAUCAGCGAAUUCUCUCAAGUGGAGUUCAUGUCGUGGUUGGUACUCCUGGUCGUGUAUUUGACAUGUUGCGAAGACAAUCACUUCGUUCAGAUUACAUCAAGAUGUUUGUUCUGGAUGAAGCAGAUGAAAUGCUCUCAAGAGGGUUCAAGGAUCAGGUAUCUGUCUUACCUAUAAUAUAUGAUUUGUAUAGUAAUCAAUUCAUGGGUGUUGCUGUAUCUGAUGCAACUAUACCAGCUUAUAUUUGUUUAAACUAUAUUUGUACAUAAUGCAUGAUUUCAAUCUGUUUUUUAUAAUAUAGUGUUGUAACAUGUCGCUCGAACAUAUUUAACCUAGGUGUAUGUUGUCUCAUUUGAAUGCUCUUUUAUCACUGUAGAAGCUGCUGUGUUUCAUAUACUAAUAAAAACUGUAUAUUGCUAAAGGUGGAUCCAUUUCUUCUAAUGUUUACUUCAUUGUUGCAGAUUUAUGAUAUCUUUCAGUUGCUACCACCAAAAGUUCAGGUUGGAGUUUUUUCUGCCACUAUGCCUCCCGAGGCUCUUGAAAUCACUAGGAAAUUUAUGAAUAAGCCUGUGAGGAUUCUCGUCAAGCGAGAUGAGCUUACUCUUGAGGGUAUUAAACAGUUUUAUGUGAACGUUGACAAGGAGGAAUGGAAACUGGAGACACUGUGUGAUCUUUACGAGACUUUGGCUAUUACUCAGAGUGUGAUUUUCGUCAACACCAGGCGAAAGGUUGAUUGGCUGACUGACAAAAUGCGCAGCCGUGAUCACACAGUCUCCGCCACUCAUGGAGACAUGGAUCAGAAUACUAGAGAUAUAAUUAUGCGCGAAUUUCGCUCUGGUUCCUCUCGUGUUCUCAUUACAACUGAUCUCCUGGCACGUGGUAUAGAUGUCCAGCAAGUCUCCCUUGUGAUAAACUAUGACCUGCCGACUCAGCCAGAGAACUACCUUCAUAGGAUUGGGCGUAGUGGACGUUUUGGAAGGAAAGGUGUUGCGAUCAACUUUGUUACCAAGGAUGAUGACAGGAUGUUGGUUGACAUACAGAAGUUCUAUAAUGUAGUAGUUGAGGAGC